rnacentral:rRNA from 1 species
UACGGAGGGUGCAAGCGUUAAUCGGAAUUACUGGGCGUAAAGCGCACGCAGGUGGCUGAGUCAGUCGAUUGUGAAAGCCCUGGGCUUAACCUGGGAAUUGCAGUCGAUACUACUCAGCUAGAGUAUGGGAGAGGGUAGUGGAAUUCCCGGUGUAGCGGUGAAAUGCGUAGAUAUGCGGAGGAACACCGAUGGCGAAGGCAAUCCCCUGGACCUGUACUGACGCUCAUGCACGAAAGCGUGGGGAGCAAACAGG